AUAAAAAUAUUCGUACAAAGACUGGGGAUAAACAUAGAAUUGCCA
rnacentral:sRNA from 1 species